CUUAACUCCGGGAUUGCCAUUGAAACUGUUUCACUUGAGUGUAGUCGAGGACGGCGGAAUGAGUUGUGUAGCGGUGAAAUGCAUAGAUAUAACUCAGAACACCGAUUGCGAAGGCAGCUGUCUAGGCUACAACUGACGCUGAGGCACGAAAGCGUGGGGAGCGAACAGGAUUAGAUACCCUGGUAGUCCACGCAGUAAACGAUGAUCACUCGUUGUUGGCUACUGAGUAGUCAGUGACUAAGGGAAACCAUUAAGUGAUCCACCUGGGGAGUACGUCGGCAACGAUGAAACUCAAAGGAAUUGACGGGGGCCCGCACAAGCGGAGGAACAUGUGGUUUAAUUCGAUGAUACGCGAGGAACCUUACCUGGGCUUAAAUGCUGGCUGCAUUCACGCGAAAGCGUGAUUUCCUACGGGACCG
rnacentral:rRNA from 1 species